UAGCUCAGUCGGUAGAGCAUGGGACUCUUAAUCCCAGGGUCGUGGGUUCGCCCCAC
rnacentral:tRNA from 1 species